rnacentral:lncRNA from 1 species
CAUGAAAACGACAAACUCUUUAGACCUGUUUAAAGUUGCAAUGGAAAAUAAAUAAAAGCAGUUUACAUAAAUUGUAUAAGCAGAUUAUAUAAAUAGUAAAAGUAAUCUACAUAUUUAAACAUAAAUAACGAAUAAUUACAUAGGCCUAUAGCUUAUAGAAAUAAUAUUUUAUGCUAUAUCUUUUAGGGACCACAACAUGUUAGGGAGGCUAAGCGCAGGGAAGUUCUCCCAUUCAGAUAGGCAAAGUCUCACUGAGAAGAUGGCGGCCAGGCUAGAUCUGCAGGACAAGAGUUUGCACCGCGUUCAUGCAGAACUGUGUUUCCUCUUCUGACCUGUCGCUCUUUGAGCUUUACAUCACCUCUCUGAAUUCUAAUUGCCUGGUGAAGGUCAGUGUGCCCAGUCUCAACUUUAACCAGGAUGUGCAACGGACUGCAGGUCAGGGCUUCACUGUGACUCUCCCCAAAACAAUUGAGCUGUCUGGCACCAGGAGGUCUUCAUUCAGGCAUCUGAUGACAUAACGGUUUCCUUGCUAAACUCAAAGCAGUUCACGGUGGAUACGUCCCUGGUCUACCCCAUGAACAAAAGGGGUACUGAAUAUUUUGUGUUCACCCCCACCAGCUCCCCUCCAUCCAUGCUGAAGGAGUCUGUUCCUUCGAGUGGUCCGGUUCAAAGGACAUUUGUACAGUGCUGGCAGUAAACAAGUUGUGGUUAUGGAUCCUUUUGAAAAUCCAUAAAUUCAAAGCCAAGGAGAUCUUACGGGAACACACAUACAUUCACAGCUUCACACUCAACCAAGAGUACAAAAUCCAGUUUCCAAAUGGUCUCAACAUUGUUGCUGACAAUGGAAUCCAGGUGUUUUUCUGUUUAAUGGUGUUCAAACAUCCCAUGGUGUCAUAUAUGACCCGUUUCUUAUAAAUGUUCUGCCCAACGACCAGUUUUGUUCUUCGUAUGCGCUUGAUGGGAUAGCUGGCUUUGACAUUCAAGCUCUUCUGAUUGUUUCUACCAAAGAACAAGCAGUGAUUCAUUUUGAUAGCUUGCCUUUACCUGGAAACCUUCAGUGGAGGGUCAUUAAAACUGUGAGUACUCUUAAGACUGAGCUGGUUUACCAACCUGGGGCAGGUGGGCACAAAUUAACCCAUCCAAAUGCUUCUUUUGGAGUCUAUAGUGUGGGAAAACAGCAAGUGAAUGGGUACGGAGCCCCAGCUGCAUGCAUUGAUCCAGUAGAAUUCCUAGCACGUCACUGUUGUAGUGAGGAUGAGGAGUGCCAGAUGAUGUGUGAAGAAACCUUUUGGAAUCUGUUGGACAACAGGUGGAUGGUUUGUGAUUUUAUCUUCUUUUGA